rnacentral:rRNA from 1 species
GACGAACGCUGGCGGCAUGCCUAACACAUGCAAGUCGAACGAGACCUUCCGGUCUUUUGGCGCACGGGUGCGUAACGCCUGGGAACCUGCCCUUAGGUUCGCUGUCCCUCCCCGAGAGGGGUCCUAAUGCCGCUUAAGGUCUUCCCACCUAAGAUUUCUCGCCUUUGGGUGGGGCCUGGUUGGAUUCGCUGGUUGGUAGGGUAAAAGCCUACCAUGGCGACGAUCCAUAGCUGGUCUGAGAGGAGGACCAGCCACACUGGGGCUGAGACACGGCCCAGACUCGUACGCGAGGGAGGAGUGGGGAAUAUUGGACAAUGGGGGAAAGCCUGAUCCAGCAAUGCCGGGGGAGUGAUGAAGGCCGUAGGGUUCUAAAGCUCUUUUACCCGGGAUGAUAAUGACGGUACCGGGAGAAUAAGCACCGGCUAACUCCGUG